rnacentral:rRNA from 1 species
CAGCCGCCGCGGUAAUACGUAGGGCGCAAGCGUUGUCCGGAUUUAUUGGGCGUAAAGAGUUCGUAGGCGGUCUGUCGCGUCGGAAGUGAAAACCCGGAGCUCAACUCCGGGCCUGUUUUCGAUACGGGCAGACUUGAGUGUUGCAGGGGAGACUGGAAUUCCUGGUGUAGCGGUGGAAUGCGCAGAUAUCAGGAGGAACACCGGUGGCGAAGGCGGGUCUCUGGGCAACAACUGACGCUGAGGAACGAAAGCGUGGGGAGCGAACAGGAUUAGAUACCCUGGUAGUCCACGCUGUAAACGGUGGGCACUAGGUGUGGGGACCAUUCCACGGUCUCUGCGCCGCAGCUAACGCAUUAAGUGCCCCGCCUGGGGAGUACGGCCGCAAGGCUAAAACUCAAAGGAAUUGACGG